GAAUAUGAGCAAAAAAUAACUUUGGAUUAAUGCAAACAUGAAGAAAGAGCAUGAAGAUGGACUUUCAGGGAAGAAAGAGCAUAAAGAUAAGACUGUCUUAAUUGCUAUACUUUAUGUAACUCAGCCUUUCAAUACGUAGAGCCUAGAGGUUGUAGUUGGAGAUAAGAAUAGUUCUUACUACAUUAACUCUAACUUGUUCCUUGGGAAUAUGGCAG
rnacentral:lncRNA from 1 species